UUAAAAUGUUUAUAGGUUUUUAUAGAGAAGUUUAUAGAUGAUCAAAGGAAAUAUGGUAUUUUUUUUAACAUUGCUAAGUUAUUUUAAAAUUUGACGGGCACUUACGUGCCAACUUUACCAUGAAAUGUUCCAUAAAAUUAAAGAGACCCUAAUGGAUUCUAUUUAUUGAAGUGACAAACAUUCGGGACAACCUAUGGGGCUGAGUUGAAACCGAGUUCGGCGCAUAAGAACCUCACCAUUUAAGCCAGCUGAGUUGAGGUGUUGGAACUUGACUGCACUUGAGUUGUUUGAAAAUUAAUUAUAUAGUAAAUGGCACGUAAAGUGUUAUAAUUUUGUUAUAAAAGAAGAUGCGACGAAUGCGCUCGAAAUAUUGACGAAAAUAUCAAAGACAUGUGAUGUUUUGGUGAAAAAAAUGUAAAAAUUUGUUACCAUAUAAAUUAUGGCAUACUAAAUAUGGCCAUAAAUAAAAGUAUUGUUGGUUGCAGCAUUUUAAUUUGGUAACCUCAUUACAUAUCCGUGCUAUGGCAGCUAUCUAACAGGGGCUGUCCGCUGACUGGUGCUGUGACAAGUUAUAUUAGGUUUGUCAACAAGUUUGUAACGCCCAAAAGGAAAUUUUGGAGAUUCAAUAAAAAUUAUAUACAUAUAAUGAUCAGCAUGAAGACGCGAGUCGAGUUUGCCUUGUACUACUGGCUGUCUGCAUAUACGCCAACUAGUCCCUCAUUUUUUGACUUAUCUAGCUAGAGUUCUGCACACGCGCUUUUCUCUCCAAGCGGCUACUCAUUUGGCAGAAUCGACGAAAUUGGACAACUCUAGCGUAUAGCUGCCAUACAAAUUAAAUAAUCGGAAUCAAGUGCUUGCAGGAAAACUUUUUAA